AACGUAGGAGACUAGCGUUAUCCGGAUUUACUGGGCGUAAAGCGUGUGCAGGCGGUUCGGCAAGUUGGAUGUGAAAUCUCCGGGCCUAACCCGGAAAGUGCGGAGGGGACUGCUCGGCUAGAGGAUGGGAGAGGAGCGCGGAAUUCCCGGUGUAGCGGUGAAAUGCGUAGAGAUCGGGAGGAAGGCCGGUGGCGAAGGCGGCGCUCUGGAACAUUUCUGACGCUGAGGCUCGAAAGCGUGGGGAGCAAACAGG
rnacentral:rRNA from 1 species